GAUGAACGCUGGCGGCGUGCCUAAUACAUGCAAGUCGAGCGAACGGACGAGAAGCUUGCUUCUCUGAUGUUAGCGGCGGACGGGUGAGUAACACGUGGAUAACGUACCUAUAAGACUGGGAUAACUUCGGGAAACCGGAGCUAAUACCGGAUGAUAUUUUGAACCGCAUGGUUCAAAAGUGAAAGACGGUCUUGCUGUCACUUAUAGAUGGAUCCGCGCUGCAUUAGCUAGUUGGUAAGGUAACGGCUUACCAAGGCAACGAUGCCUAGCCGACCUGAGAGGGUGAUCGGCCACACUGGAACUGAGACACGGUCCAGACUCCUACGGGAGGCAGCAGUAGGGAAUCUUCCGCAAUGGGCGAAAGCCUGACGGAGCAACGCCGCGUGAGUGAUGAAGGUCUUCGGAUCGUAAAACUCUGUUAUUAGGGAAGAACAUAUGUGUAAGUAACUGUGCACAUCUUGACGGUACCUAAUCAGAAAGCCACGGCUAACUACGUG
rnacentral:rRNA from 1 species